rnacentral:rRNA from 1 species
UACGGGGGGGGCAAGCGUUGUUCGGAAUUACUGGGCGUAAAGGGCUCGUAGGUGGCCAACUCAGUCGGAUGUGAAAUCCCCAGGCUCAACUUGGGAACUGCAUCCGAUACUGGAUGGCUUGAAUCCGGGAGAGGGAUGCAGAAUUCCAGGUGUAGCGGUGAAAUGCGUAGAUAUCGGGAGGAACACCAGUGGCGAAGGCGGCUUUCUGGCCUGUUCUUGACGCUGAGGCGCGAAAGCUAGGGGAGCAAACGGG